rnacentral:rRNA from 1 species
UGCGGAGGAUGCAAGCGUUAUCCGGAAUGAUUGGGCGUAAAGCGUCCGCAGGUGGCUAUGUAAGUCUGCUGUUAAAGAGUGAGGCUCAACCUCAUAAGAGCAGUGGAAACUACAUAGCUAGAGUGCGUUCGGGGCAGAGGGAAUUCCUGGUGUAGCGGUGAAAUGCGUAGAGAUCAGGAAGAACACCGGUGGCGAAGGCGCUCUGCUAGGCCGCAACUGACACUGAGGGACGAAAGCUAGGGGAGCGAAUGGG